UCUUCUUUUUCUUCUUUCGUUUUCUUCCCUGUUCUUCUUCUGUUAGAGAUUCAGUGAAAAAAAUGGAGUUCUGAGACCAUGAGGUUGAGAGAAAAAUUAGGGCUAUAUAUUUGAUUUAAGUUCUGAGGAUUCUAAAGAUGAAAUUUAGAGUUAAGGUAGACUGAAGAAUAAAGGGUUAUCAUUUAAUUGAAGUUUAGAAAUGGUUUUGAUGAAGAACUGAAAGGUUAGGGUUUCUGAGAAGAAUGGAUUUGAUUAGGGGAUUUAGGAGAAAUUGAAUAUGAAACUGGAUGAUUAAGGAUGGGUUUUAAGAAGAUGUUCUGAAGUAGAAUAUUAAUUCGAGAUUAUCGAAGUUAGGGUUUUGAAGCUGUUCGUGAAGCUAGGGAUUGAUUCUGUUGAUAAAAAAGUGAAAGAGUUCUCAGUGGUGUUGAUUCAAGAGUUGAGUUCAACAGUUGGGAGAAAAGUGAGAAGAAUUGGAGUUAGAUGUGAUUGUAGUUGAAGCUCAGGAGAUGGAUUAAAGUUGCUGAUGUUGCUGUUGAUUGAACUGAACCGGUGGGUUUGUUUUUUUUCUUAAGAUGGCCUCAAUUUGUUGGAAUGAAACCAUUCUGAGGUGAUGUUGGUUUGUAAAUUACAGUGUUGAGUAUAAAAAUGGAUAAGUUGUAUAUGAGUUGCAGAUAACGAAUUUGGUGAAGUACGAAUGAGAUGAGGUAGUAUUGGAAUCUGUAUGAAUUGAUGAAGGUGUCGACUUAGUGAAUUUGAUGUUAAGAAGAAUGUUGUAAUGUUAGUGAUUGUGGAUAUGAGAUGUAUGAGCUGUUACAGGUGAAGUGGGAUAGAGUUGCAGUAUAUCAACUAAAUCCUUGGGUGAAUAUUGCAGGUGGUUGAAGUAAUUGGAAUUGAGUCAGUCUGACAUAUAGAUGAAGUGAGUUUUGCCUGAGAGGAUGUAACUGGUGGUGUAGAGUAUUGUUGUAUCUUGAGUUGGAAGAGUAGAAGUUGUAUAGGAUUGAUGAGUAGAAUCGGAGUUGGAUAGUCUCUUUGAAAGCCUGCUGCUACUGCAUUUGCAGGUAAACUUGCUUUACAUUUGUAAUUAAAAUUCAAAGUUGUUUAAGAAUGGAUGUAUAAAUUGAGUUUGGUA